rnacentral:rRNA from 1 species
CCUACGGGGCGCAGCAGUGAGGAAUAUUGGUCAAUGGGCGGGAGCCUGAACCAGCCGAGUCGCGUGAGGGAAGACGGUCCUAUGGAUUGUAAACCUCUUUAGGCGGGGAGCAAUGCCGGGCACGCGUGCCCGGAGGGAGAGUACCCGCAGAAUAAGCAUCGGCUAACUCCGUGCCAGCAGCCGCGGUAAUACGGAGGAUGCGAGCGUUAUCCGGAUUUAUUGGGUUUAAAGGGUGCGUAGGCGGAUUUUUAAGUCAGCGGUGAAAUACCGGGGCUCAACCCCGGGGCUGCCGUUGAAACCGGAGG